UUGGAUCACCUCCUAACAGGGAGACAACAACUGAUCGUGAUGUCUGAGUGCUUUUAUUCUCAGGCCAUGAUCCUGUCAUCUCGAAGGUCGAUCGGUACCUCAAUUUCAAGCCUUAGAUGAGAAGUUCACUAGUUGAGCUGAUCAUGCUGAGAUAUUGAUUUUCAGUUUCUAAACGUUGUCUAGGUCACCCCAUAGAGGGUUCACUUCCUGGGCCAUUGGCUCAGGUGGUUAGAGCGCACCCCUGAUAAGGGUGAGGUCCCUGGUUCAAGUCCAGGAUGGCCCAUUCCAAAAUCCAGUUUUGGAUGAUUUUGGGGGUUUAGCUCAGUUGGUAGAGCGCCUGCUUUGCAAGCAGGAUGUCAGCGGUUCGAGUCCGCUAACCUCCACUAACACCUGAACUCCUAAGCCAGGAAGCAAUUCUUGGGUGGUGAUUUUAGACGUUGUUCGAGCGAAUUCUACUGGAUUAAUCCAGUCGAGUUCAGCCUCAGCUCAUUCCCUUCUCACGGUUCGUUUUGGACUGGAUGAGAUGUUGGUUGAGCUGAUGCUGAAUUCACUCCUGCAAGGGAGAGGAUUUAGCAGAACCUUGACAACUGCAUAGGUGAGUCUGGAAAGACAAAGCAUCUCAUGGAUGUGAACUCGCAAGAGUUCAAAUUCUAUUUUGAGAGCCGAGACCUUCUAGCGUUCUUCCAACGGCGCCGAGCCAGCGGGAGUUUGAUCCUUGCUUGCGGCAGAGCCACUUUUGAUCGGGAAACCAAUCAAAAGCAGUUGUGUUGCCAAGCUUGAGAGAAUGGGCCUCAACAGCCUGAAGCGUUAGGAGGAUAAUUUGGUCAAGCUACAAAGAGCUCACGGCGGAUACCUUGGCACACAGAGGGCGAAGAAGAA
rnacentral:tRNA from 1 species